ACGAACGCUGGCGGCGUGCUUAACACAUGCAAGUCGAACGGAAAGGCCUCAGCUUGCUGGGGUACUCGAGUGGCGAACGGGUGAGUAACACGUGGGCGAUCUGCCUUGCACUCUGGGAUAAGCUUGGGAAACUGGGUCUAAUACCGGAUAUGAACUGCCUUUAGUGUGGUGGUUGGAAAGUUUUUUCGGUGCAAGAUGAGCUCGCGGCCUAUCAGCUUGUUGGUGGGGUAAUGGCCUACCAAGGCGUCGACGGGUAGCCGGCCUGAGAGGGUGUACGGCCACAUUGGGACUGAGAUACGGCCCAGACUCCUACGGGAGGCAGCAGUGGGGAAUAUUGCACAAUGGGCGGAAGCCUGAUGCAGCGACGCCGCGUGGGGGAUGACGGCCUUCGGGUUGUAAACUCCUUUCGACAGGGACGAAGCUUUUUGUGACGGUACCUGUAUAAGAAGCACCGGCUAACUACGUG
rnacentral:rRNA from 1 species